CCAUGAAGCCGUUGGAAGACGUGAUGCACAUUUUCCCCAUCCUCCUCUAGGUAAAUAUUAUUUAGUGGAUGUUGGAUAUCCAAAUCCCACGGGUUAUUUGGGGCCAUAUAGACAAGUGAGAUAUCAUUUGCCA